rnacentral:rRNA from 1 species
CUACGGGGCGCUGCAGUGAGGAAUUUUGCGCAAUGGGCGAAAGCCUGACGCAGCAACGCUGCGUGAGUGAUGAAGGCCUUCGGGUCGUAAAGCUCUGUCAAGUGGGAAGAACCUAUGUAAUGUUAAUAUCAUUAUAUACUGACGGUACCACUGAAGGAAGCACCGGCUAACUCCGUGCCAGCAGCCGCGGUAAUACGGGGGGUGCAAGCGUUAUUCGGAAUCAUUGGGCGUAAAGGGCACGUAGGCGGCCUGGUAAGUCAGAUGUGAAAGCCCGGGGCUUAACCCCGGAAGUGCAUUUGGUACUGUCAGGCUUGAGUAUGGGAGAGGGAAGUGGAAUUCCUGGUGUAGAGGUGAAAUUCGUAGAUAUCAGGAGGAACACCGGUGGCGAAGGCGACUUCCUGGACCAAUACUGACGCUGAGGUGCGAAGGCGUGGGUAGCAAACAGGAUUAGAUACCCUAGUAGUC